rnacentral:rRNA from 1 species
AACAAACGCUGGCGGCGUGCCUAACACAUGCAAGUCGUACGAGAAAGGGUCCUUCGGGGCCUGAGUAAAGUGGCGCACGGGUGAGUAACGCGUGGAUAAUCUGCCCUUCAGUUGGGAAUAACUCAUCGGAAGGUGGGCUAAUACCGAAUAAUGCUGUGAGACCUCGGUUGAUCAGCCAAAGGGAGCCUCUGCUUGCAAGCCCUCGCUGAAGGAUGAGUCCGGGUACCAUUAGCUAGUUGGUAGGGUAAUGGCCUACCAAGGCGACGAUGGUUAGCUGGUCUGAGAGGAUGAUCAGCCACACUGGAACUGAGACACGGUCCAGACUCCUACGGGAGGCAGCAGUGAGGAAUCUUGCGCAAUGGGGGCAACCCUGACGCAGCAACGCCGCGUGAGUGAGGAAGGUCUUCGGAUCGUAAAGCUCUGUCGGAUGGAAAGAACCGCAUAGGGGUAAACAGCCCCUGUGUCUGACGGUACCAUCAAAGGAAGCACCGGCUAACUCCGUGCCAGCCGCCGCGGUAAGAC